GGGAUGUCAUGCUCCAGGGUAGAGGUGGGUGGAGUUGGAUGGGCUCCAGAUGAUGGCCUUCUCUCUGCCCAAGCCAGCGAUCUGUGCUUUCCCGUCUCUACCAAAAUCCGGAGGAGGAUGCUGAGAUCCGCAUCAACGCCUACCUGGCCCUGAUGAGAUGCCCUGGCGAAGAGGUGUUUGCCCAGGUGCGGCACACCCAGGCAAGCGAGCAGUCCACCCAGGUGGGCUCCUUUGUGUGGAGUCACCUGAUGCAGCUGCUGGAAACUGAUGACCCUCUGAAGCGAGCUCUCCAGGAGGCCCUCCCUGAGGACAUCCUGAGCCAGGAGUUCCAGCCAGAGACCUGGAAACACUCAUCCUAUUCUGAUGUCACCUUCCGCUCAGCUUGGCCUCCGCUUGGAAAAUGCAGAGAAAAUCAUCCACAGGCUGUUGGGCGGGAAGUCAUUCUGGGGGCAGGAAGAGGAGAGAGAGGGCCAGCCGGAGAAGUCCUCAGAGCCAGACCCAGGGCCCUCAGCACAGGCAGCCAAACCUGACUGUCCAGAAGAAAGGUCCAGAAAGAUGAGAGACCUGCAGCAGAAGGUAAGGCGGGGGCUGGGGGGAGGUACCUGCACCCACCCUGCUCCCACCCCUCACCAGCCUGAGCUUUUGGCCUGCGGACUCAGGUGUCAAUGAAUUCUGACCCUGCCCUCCCUCCCCAGACACAAGUACUGGUCCAGAGCCGAGUAGUCAGCUGUUAGCCUGCCUUAUCGUGAAAAAGUCUUGAUCAAAGCAUCACCUACAAUUAGAAAAUCGUGCAAGCCCUAAGGGCGUUUCCACCACCAGAACGCAUUCUUAGAAUCAGUGCCCAGAGCAUUAUCGGCACCCCAGAGGCCCCCUGCCCUCCCCCUUCUGGUCUACCCACCCCAACCAAGGGUGAUCAUGAAUCGGCCUCCUAACUGCCCUGGUUAGUUCUACUUUUUAAAAAAUCAGCUCUGUCCCAGGUCUAGUAAUGAGUAGCAUGUGUUUAAUUAUACAAUUUGAUAAGUUUUGACCUAUAAGUGCACAUUCCUAGUGACGUGCAACCAUCACUUCUAUCUAGUUCCCAAACAUUGUCAUGGCCCCAAGGGAGACCCCAUCCCCAGUAACAGUCACUCCCCAUCCCGUCUUCCCCCCAGCCCCUGGCAACCACUGAUCUGCUUUGGGUCUCUAUGGAUUUUCCUGUCCUGGACAUUUCACAGACACGGAAUCAGACACAUGUGACCUAUGGUGUCUGGCUUCUCUCACUGAGCCUCCUGUUUGGAGACUCGCUGGUGUAGCACAGAUCAGUGCUGCAUCCCUCUUGAAGGCUGGAUAGGCUACACUGUGUUCAUCCAUCCACCUGCUGGGGGACAUUCUGUUGCAAGUUGUUGCCACCCUUUGGCCAGUGUGAAUAAUGCUGCUUGUGACAUUGUGUGUGUGUGUGUGUGUGUGUGUGUGUGUGUGUCUAGCUUCUCUCUUGCUUGAAUGAGAUCCAUCUACAUGGUUCUAUAUUUUCACACUUUGCUCAUGCUCCUU
rnacentral:lncRNA from 1 species